UACGUAGGGGGCUAGCGUUGUCCGGAAUCAUUGGGCGUAAAGCGCGUGUAGGCGGUCCGGUAAGUCCGCUGUGAAAGUCGGGGGCUCAACCCUCGGAUGCCGGUGGAUACUGUCGGGCUUGAGUACGGAAGAGGCGAGUGGAAUUCCUGGUGUAGCGGUGAAAUGCGCAGAUAUCAGGAGGAACACCGGUGGCGAAGGCGGGUCUCUGGGCAAUUCCUGACGCUGAGGCGCGAAAGCGUGGGGAGCAAACGGG
rnacentral:rRNA from 1 species